rnacentral:rRNA from 1 species
UACGUAGGGUGCAAGCGUUUAAUCGGAAUUACUGGGCGUAAAGCGUGCGCAGGCGGUUGUGCAAGACCGAUGUGAAAUCCCCGGGCUUAACCUGGGAAUGGCAUUGGUGACUGCACGGCUAGAGUGUGUCAGAGGGGGGGUAGAAUUCCACGUGUAGCAGUGAAAUGCGUAGAGAUGUGGAGGAAUACCGAUGGCGAAGGCAGCCCCCUGGGAUAACACUGACGCUCAUGCACGAAAGCGUGGGGAGCAAACAGG